rnacentral:snRNA from 1 species
ACUGCUUCUUGGCCUUUUGGCUAAGAUCAAAUGUAGAAUUUGCUCUUGCAAGGUGGUUGAGCACACUGACCACUCCAUGUUCCUUUAUAAAGGUCUAUGUAUGAUGGGAAUCAUUUUGGCAUGCUGCCUUCCUUCUGAUAAUGAGAAUUAGGUGGUUGACUCUGGUUCCCUUCUUGCAUGGGCUGCUGGGAAGCUCGGAUCCUAA